rnacentral:rRNA from 1 species
ACUCCUACGGGAGGCAGCAGUAGGGAAUUUUCCGCAAUGGACGAAAGUCUGACGGAGCAAUGCCGCGUGAGUGAUGAAGGUUUUCGAAUCGUAAAGCUCUGUUGUAAGGGAAGAAUAGCAAGAAUAGGAAAUGAUUCUUGUCUGACGGUACCUUACCAGAAAGCCACGGCUAACUACGUGCCAGCAGCCGCGGUAAUACGUAGGUGGCAAGCGUUAUCCGGAAUUAUUGGGCGUAAAGCGCAUGUAGGCGGCUUUUUAAGUCUGAUGUGAAAGCCAGUGGCCCAACCACUGAAUUGCAUUGGAUACUGGAAGCUAGAAUCUUGGAGAGGUAAGUGGAAGUUUCAUGUUGUAGCGGUGGAAUGCGUA